UAAGUGAAUCUAACUAGAAAUGAUAAAUCAAUACGUCAAAUUCCAUUCAACAAUGACUUUUGCUAAUCAACUGCAAUUUCUUUGCAUUUUCAAGAUACUAAAGUUGUUCUUGGGGUGCUAGAGGAUAGAACCUCGCCAAGCCAGCAAAGCUAGCCAUCACCUAGUCCAUUCGCAGUUCCGAUAGGCAGUGUCAUAUUUCGUAUCAGAAUGUUUCUCCGUCUGUGGGUAUACUUAGCGUCGAAAAUAUUCCAUGAGAAAAAUCGGGAAGAAGAAUAGAACCAACCACCCCGCCACUUCUCCUCCGACUUCACGCAACAUCGAAAAAAAACCACUUUUACAUGGUUUCAACAAAAGGAACGAAUCCCAGUUGCAAUCACUUUGGCCAAAAAUAGUAAUUCAUUACCCAACUGUUACUCGCCAAAAAAUGUUUUGCCUCAACUCGCUAAAUCAAUACCCCCCUCAAUAGUUAAAUUUUUAUUUCAAGCACUCCUAAAAUUAGUAGUGUUCCUGCC